AGUCGAACGGUAGCAGGAAGUGCUUGCACUUUGCUGACGAGUGGCGGACGGGUGAGUAAUGCUUGGGAACUUGCCUUUGCGAGGGGGAUAACAGUUGGAAACGACUGCUAAUACCGCAUAAUGUCUACGGACCAAACGGGGCUUAGGCUUCGGCGCAGAGAGAGGCCCAAGUGAGAUUAGCUAGUUGGUGGGGUAAAGGCUCACCAAGGCGACGAUCUCUAGCUGUUCUGAGAGGAAGAUCAGCCACACUGGGACUGAGACACGGCCCAGACUCCUACGGGAGGCAGCAGUGGGGAAUAUUGCACAAUGGGGGGAACCCUGAUGCAGCCAUGCCGCGUGUGUGAAGAAGGCCUUCGGGUUGUAAAGCACUUUCAGUUGUGAGGAAAAGUGAGUAGUUAAUACCUGCUCACCGUGACGUUAACAACAGAAGAAGCACCGGCUAACUCCGUGCCAGCAGCCGCGGUAAUACGGAGGGUGCGAGCGUUAAUCGGAAUUACUGGGCGUAAAGCGCACGCAGGCGGUUUGUUAAGCUAGAUGUGAAAGCCCCGAGCUCAACUUGGGAUGGUCAUUUAGAACUGGCAGACUAGAGUCUUGGAGAGGGGAGUGGAAUUCCAGGUGUAGCGGUGAAAUGCGUAGAUAUCUGGAGGAACAUCAGUGGCGAAGGCGACUCCCUGGCCAAAGACUGACGCUCAUGUGCGAAAGUGUGGGUAGCGAACAGGAUUAGAUACCCUGGUAGUCCACACCGUAAACGCUGUCUACUAGCUGUUUGUGGCUUUAAGCCGUGAGUAGCGAAGCUAACGCGAUAAGUAGACCGCCUGGGGAGUACGGCCGCAAGGUUAAAACUCAAAUGAAUUGACGGGGGCCCGCACAAGCGGUGGAGCAUGUGGUUUAAUUCGAUGCAACGCGAAGAACCUUACCUACACUUGACAUGCAGAGAACUUUCCAGAGAUGGAUUGGUGCCUUCGGGAACUCUGACACAGGUGCUGCAUGGCUGUCGUCAGCUCGU
rnacentral:rRNA from 1 species